rnacentral:rRNA from 1 species
GACGAACGCUGGCGGCGUGCUUAACACAUGCAAGUCGAACGGAAAGGCCCUGCUUUUGGGGGUUCCCGGGGGGCGAAAGGGGGAGGAACCAGGGAGUAACCCGCCCCUGACUUUUGGGUAACCUCCAGGAACCGGGGCUAAUAACCGAUAAGAGGCUCCUCCGGCUGGGGGGGGGUGGGAAGUUUCGGCGGUUGGGGAUGGACUCGCGGCUUAUCAGCUUGUUGGUGGGGUAGUGGCUUACCAAGGCUUUGACGGGUAGCCGGCCUGAGAGGGUGACCGGCCACAUUGGGACUGAGAUACGGCCCAGACUCCUACGGGAGGCAGCAGUGGGGAAUAUUGCACAAUGGGCGGAAGCCUGAUGCAGCAACGCCGCGUGCGGGAUGACGGCCUUCGGGUUGUAAACCGCUUUCGCCUGUGACGAAGCGUGAGUGACGGUAAUGGGUAAAGAAGCACCGGCUAACUACGUG